rnacentral:tRNA from 2 species
UCCGAUAUGGUGUAAUGGCUAGCACAGUUCGCUCUCACCGAGCAGAUCGGGGUUCGAUUCCCCGUAUCGGAGC